rnacentral:rRNA from 1 species
GACAGAGGUCCCGAGCGUUAGGCGGAAUCACUGGGCUUAAAGCGUGUGUAGGCGGCGGCCUAAGUACCUUGUGAAAUCCCGCGGCUCAACCGUGGAACUGCCUUAGAUACUGACGGCCUCGAGGGAGGUAGGGGCGAGCGGAACUGUGAGUGGAGCGGUGAAAUGCGUUGAUAUUCACAGGAACUCCGGUGGCGAAGGCGGCUCGCUGGACCUUUUCUGACGCUGAGGCGCGAAAGCUAGGGGAGCAAACGGG